rnacentral:rRNA from 1 species
CUAGCUGUAAACGAUGGAUACUAGGCGUUGAGAGUAUCGACCCUCUCAGUGUCGUAGCUAACGCGUUAAGUAUCCCGCCUGGGGAGUACGCGCGCAAGCGUGAAACUCAAAGGAAUUGACGGGGGCCCGCACAAGCGGUGGAGUAUGUGGUUUAAUUCGAUGCAACGCGAAGAACCUUACCAGGGCUUGACAUGUCCGGAACCCUGCCCAAAAGCGGGGGUGCCUACGGGAACCGGAACACAGGUGGUGC